rnacentral:rRNA from 1 species
UGACCUGCUAAAUAGACGGGUUGACAUUUUGUUGGCCCCUAUGUCUUCUUAGAGGGACAAUCGACCGUCUAGGUGAUGGAGGCAAAAGGCAAUAACAGGUCUGUGAUGCCCUUAGAUGUUCCGGGCUGCACGCGCGCUACACUGACAGAGACAACGAGUGGGGCCCCUUGUCCGAAAUGACUGGGUAAACUUGUGAAACUUUGUCGUGCUGGGGAUGGAGCUUUGUAAUUUUUGCUCUUCAACGAGGAAUUCCUAGUAAGCGCAAGUCAUCAGCUUGCGUUGACUACGUCCCUGCCCUUUGUACACACCGCCCGUCGCU